rnacentral:rRNA from 1 species
AUUGAACGCUGGCGGCAGGCCUAACACAUGCAAGUCGAGCGCGAAAGUUCUUCGGAAUGAGCAAAGCGGCGGACGGGUGAGUAAUACAUGGGAAUCUGCCUGGUAGUGGGGGACAACGUUUCGAAAGGAACGCUAAUACCGCAUACGCCCUACGGGGAAAGGGGGGAUCGCAAGACCUCUCGCUAUCGGAUGAGCCCAUG